rnacentral:rRNA from 1 species
UACGGAGGGUGCAAGCGUUAUCCGGAUUCACUGGGUUUAAAGGGUGUGUAGGCGGGCUGUUAAGUCAGUGGUGAAAUCUCCGGGCUCAACCCGGAAACUGCCAUUGAUACUAUCAGUCUUGAAUUCUGUUGAGGUGGGCGGAAUAUGUCAUGUAGCGGUGAAAUGCAUAGAUAUGACAUAGAACACCAAUUGCGAAGGCAGCUCACUAAGCAGCGAUUGACGCUGAGGCGCGAAAGCGUGGGGAUCAAACAGG